rnacentral:rRNA from 1 species
AUACGGAGGAUCCGAGCGUUAUCCGGAUUUAUUGGGUUUAAAGGGUGCGCAGGCGGCCAUUUAAGUCAGCGGUUAAAUCGUGGGGCUCAACCCCAUUCUGCCGUUGAUACUGGGUGGCUUGAUUGCGGUCGAGGUUGGCGGAAUUCGUUGUGUAGCGGUGAAAUGCAUAGAUAUGACGAGGAACACCGAUUGCGUAGGCAGAGGACCAGACGGCAAAUGACGCCAAGGCACGAAAGUGGGGGGAUCGAACGGGAUAAGAUCCCCUGGAAGUCGCCAAAGAAAACGUUGAUACCUGGUUUCCGGGAUAAAAAGUUCGGAGGAAAGGCGAAAGCGUAAGGAAUCCCCCCGGGGAGUACGCCGGCAACGGUGAAACUCAAAGGAAUUGACGGGG